CCAGGCGUUUUAUCCACACUGGGCACCCUCUCCCACUGCAGAGACCGGAGGCACCCCGCUCCCUGCUCAUCCACCACAGCCCCCUCCCUCUUCCCCUUUCCAGAAAUGUUUGGAAUACAGCUGAGGGUCGCAAAGCUGGAAUGUUUCUUUCUCAGUACACAGCACAGUGGGGACAAGAAAAGAAUGUCAGUGUUCUCGAGGGACCCAGCUGGAUAAUGCAGAGCAGACACCUGGAACGUCUACAACUGCCUCCUCAAAGUAGCCCUCACCCCGCUGGGGCACUUCCACCCUGCUCUUUGGAAGCACACACCCACCAGCUCUAUUCCUUAAAAAAAAUUUUUUUUUUAAUUGGAGGA